CCACCAGGUGUCACGCCCUGAUGUGUUUCACCUGUUGUCAUGUCUCCACCCUCCACCAGGUGUCACGCCCUGAUGUGUUUCACCUGUUGUCAUGUCUCUACCCUCCACCAGGUGUUCCUGGUUCCCCGUUAAAUACUCCAUCUGUGUAUUUAACCCCUGUUCUCUGUUCUGUCAGUUGCCAGAUUGUCUUGUCUAGUACAGUCGUUUCCGGUGUACCUUGUUUCUAGUGUUCUCCCCGUUGCCCAUUUCGCCUAUCUGUCUUCCCUGUGUUUGGAUUCUGCCUGUUUGUUUCCCCGACCGACUCGGCUGUUUGACGCAGUGUACCUCUGCCAUUGUGUUUUGUUGCCAGCCUUUGCAUAUCUACUGCCUACGAGACUGCUUUUCCCUGAACCUGUUAUUAAACAUUUCAUACGGAAUCUA